rnacentral:lncRNA from 1 species
UUCUAAAUUUUAAGUGUGGCUAAACAUAAACAAAAAACCGCACAUCGAUAUCCUUGGAAGCACUGUGGGUUCACAAAGGUUAACACCACUUAUACACUGAAAAAAUAACCCAUGUGAGAUGUGUUUUUACAAACAACAACAAAAAAUGGAAUGGAGUACAAUGUCAUAAGCCAUCAAUAAGCUUACUUUCUGAAUACAACUUAAAUCUGUUUAGUUGUUUUUACUGCUAGCCAGCUUGUGAAAGAUUUAAACAAUGUACUUGCACCUGUAAGUUAAACUAGCAAAAACAGAACAGUGGGCAAUAAAAACAGAACUGUUACGAAAGUAUAAGCUAAAUGU